AACGAACGCUGGCGGCAGGCUUAACACAUGCAAGUCGAGCGCCUCGCAAGAGGAGCGGCAGACGGGUGAGUAACGCGUGGGAAUCUACCGAGCCCUAAGGAAUAACGCAUGGAAACGUGUGCUAAUACCUUAUACGCCCUUUCGGGGAAAGAUUUAUCGGGGUUUGAUGAGCCCGCGUUGGAUUAGCUAGUUGGUGGGGUAAAGGCCUACCAAGGCGACGAUCCAUAGCUGGUCUGAGAGGAUGAUCAGCCACAUUGGGACUGAGACACGGCCCAAACUCCUACGGGAGGCAGCAGUGGGGAAUAUUGGACAAUGGGCGCAAGCCUGAUCCAGCCAUGCCGCGUGAGUGAUGAAGGCCUUAGGGUUGUAAAGCUCUUUCACCGAUGAAGAUAAUGACGGUAGUCGGAGAAGAAGCCCCGGCUAACUUCGUGCCAGCCGCCGCGGUAAAAC
rnacentral:rRNA from 1 species